AAGCCCUUUCCAGGCCUCCUAGUGCUGGGGCCAAGGCCUUGCUCGUGGAAGGGUUGGGAUUCUCUGACACACAACACUGGUUUCUGAAGCAGCUUCUGUAUUGCGCCGGGGUCUGGAGAUGGUUGUUGUGGGCCUUAGAGUAAUUCUUAGGAUUGGGGCUGCCGCGGAGUGGGUGUAAAGAGGGGUUCACUGAGCCCAGUGGAACCCUAACUUCAUCACAACUCAACCUGAACUGGAAAAGGAUUUCAGAAGUCACCCCAUUACCCCGGGUACUAGCAAGAUGACUCAGCUGGUAAAGGCACUUGCCACCAGGACCUAAAUGAAAGAAGGAACCAACUUAGAAGCUAUUUUCUGACCAACACAUAUGCUCUAUGACCUAGGCAUGCACAAAAUAAAAGAAU
rnacentral:lncRNA from 1 species